UACGUAGGGGGCAAGCGUUGUUCGGAUUUACUGGGCGUAAAGCGCACGUAGGCGGUUUGUUAAGUGAGAGGUGAAAUCCCAGAGCUCAACUCUGGAACUGCCUUUCAUACUGGCAAGCUAGAGUCCGGAAGAGGUAAGUGGAACUCCUAGUGUAGAGGUGGAAUUCGUAGAUAUUAGGAAGAACACCAGUGGCGAAGGCGGCUUACUGGUCCGGAACUGACGCUGAGGUGCGAAAGCGUGGGGAGCAAACAGG
rnacentral:rRNA from 1 species